rnacentral:rRNA from 1 species
AUGGCCGAGCCUCUGAAAACGAGCAGCAAUGGAGCUGCCGAAAGGGGUGCUGAAAACCCUGCCUCUGGGACGGCGAAGGCGCCGUCACCGUCGCCGUCGCCGGGGAGGCUACAGGGAUUCGACUCCCUGCAUAUGGAGGCUGAAAGGAUUCCCGGUGGCCCAAGCCACGCCGCCAAGGUUGGCUGGGCGACGACACUGCACUUGGCCUUCCAGAGCCUAGGUGUUGUCUAUGGGGACAUGGGAACUUCACCGCUCUAUGUGUUUUCUAGCACCUUUACUGGUGGGAUCAAAGAUACAAACGACCUCUUUGGUGUCACGUCCCUGAUUAUUUACACUCUGGCUCUCCUUCCGUUGAUGAAAUAUUGUUUCAUUGUCUUGAGAGCUAAUGACAAUGGUGAUGGUGGAACAUUUGCACUUUAUUCCUUGAUAUCUCGGUAUGCUAGGAUUAGCUUGAUACCUAAUCAACAGGUUGAAGAUGCAACGGUCACCCACUACAAGUUAGAGUCCCCUUUGAAUAGUGUCAAGCGGGCUCAUUGGAUAAAGGAAAAGAUGGAAAACAGCCCAAAACUGAAGAUCAUACUUUUUCUAGUGACUAUUCUAGCAACUUCAAUGGUUAUUGGUGAUGGUGUGCUAACUCCAUGUAUUUCAGUGCUUAGUGCAGUCGGUGGAAUCAAGCAAUCAGCAAACUCCUUAACUCAAGGACAGAUUGCUGGCAUUGCGAUUGGCACUCUGAUUGCGCUCUUUCUUGUUCAACGGUUAGGCACAGACAAAGUUGGUUACACAUUUGGACCAGUAAUCUUGACAUGGUUCAUCUUAAUUGCUGGUAUUGGAAUUUAUAAUGUGAUCAAACAUGACACUGGAAUUCUAAAAGCAUUCAACCCAAAAUACAUCAUAGACUAUUUCCAAAGAAACGGGAAGGAGGGCUGGAUUUCACUUGGAGGUGUUGUUUUAUGCAUCACAGGAACCGAAGCAAUGUUUGCUGAUCUUGGUCACUUCAAUGUGAGAGCAAUUCAGAUUGGCUUCUCCGUAGUUCUACUCCCAUCAGUGCUGCUGGCUUACAUGGGGCAAGCUGCGUAUCUUCGCAUCUACCCUGAACACGUUGCAGAUACAUUCUACAAAUCGAUCCCAGUGGCUGCUGCUAUAAUUGCAAGCCAAGCUAUGAUAUCUGGUGCCUUCGCAAUCAUUGCCCAGUCCCAAAUUCUUGGAUGCUUUCCACGCGUUCGUGUCACCCACACUUCAAAUAAGUUUCAUGGGCAGGUCUACAUCCCUGAGAUCAACUAUGCAUUAAUGAUCUUAUGUGUAGCUGUGACAGCUAUUUUCCAAACUACAGACAAGAUUGGCAAUGCAUAUGGUAUUGCUGUCGUCUUCGUGAUGUUCAUAACAACACUUCUAGUCACACUGGUCAUGGCCAUGAUAUGGAAGACAAGUCUGCUAUGGAUUGCACUCUUUCCGAUAAUAUUUGGUGGUGCAGAGCUCAUGUACUUAUCCUCAGCGUUCUACAAAUUUAAAGAAGGUGGCUACUUGCCACUAGGUUUCGCAGCAAUUUUGAUGCUUAUAAUGGGCACAUGGCAUUAUGUUCAUGUUCACCGGUACAAAUAUGAGCUCAAGAACAAAGUGUCAAACAACUACGUGGUAGAGUUGGCAACAAAGCGAAAUCUUCCUAGGCUUCCAGGAAUAGGCGUUCUGUACUCAGAGCUUGUCCAAGGAAUCCCACCCAUACUCCCUCAUUUGGUAGAAAAAGUACCGUCCAUCCAUUCAGUUCUUGUGAUCAUCUCAAUAAAGUACUUACCAAUCAGCAAUAUAGAGACACACGAACGGUUCCUCUUCCGAUAUGUGGAGCCAAGAGAAUACAGAGUAUUCCGAUGUGUGGUGCGCUAUGGCUACAACGAUAAAGUAGAAGAUCCAAGAGAGUUUGAGAACUUGCUCAUUGGGCACUUGAAGCAAUUCAUCCAUCAAGAAUCUUUCUACAACAAAAGCACUCAUUCCCUUGCAGGAGAAGAUGCUGCAAUCGAAGAAUCAGGAGAUGCAAUGGAGCCUUAUGUUGAAGUUCAAGAUGCAAGGUUACCGAAAAGGUUUUCAGAUGGAAUCAUUGCUAGUCCACUAAACGUGUGCAUGGAUGAGACAGAGUUUAUUCAGAGAGGGAUGGAUGAUGGUGUUGUCCAUCUGCUGGGAGAAACUAACGUGGUUGCAGAGCAAAAUGCCGGAUUAGUGAAGAAAAUAAUAGUUGACUACGCCUACAAUUUCAUGAGGAAGAACUUCAGGCAACCAGAGAAGAUCACAUGCGUCCCUCAUAACAGACUGCUACGAGUGGGAAUGACAUAUGAGAUCUAG